AUAUAUAUCUAUUCCGAUCCAGAUACAUUCAGAAUUUCUGAUACAGUAAAUGGGGAUUGUAUAACAUGAAAACAUUAUACGAUGUUCUGAACAUUAUCGUUAUAAUUCCACAUGAAAAUCUUGUUAUUCUCUUCUGUUUCUCCAAUGCAAAUAUAUAGCACGUCAGAAGACGAUACCCGAGCUCGUUGACUCUACGAUGUAUUGCGGAACGAAAGUUCCUGCUUUACAUGAAAAUUAUGUUCACUAUCUGAUGCAAGAGGCAAAAGCCGACAUGCCGCGUUGUAGGGAAACGUCGCAGUAUCUGACUUAGUUUCACCUCCGCGCAGCACGGGGAUGCCAAUAAAAUUCCGCCGUAGUCCUCGGCUACGUAGAAAACUAGGACAUAGAUCUCGCCCGACAAGCGAAGACGUAGAGACUACGCAUUUGCAUCUUUCAACGACCGUACGUCAUAUUCAUAUUAUCACUUUGUAAGACGGUCGCCAUCGCGCGUUUAUGCCGUCGCGUAAUAUCCGAUGACUGUUCCAAUGAUAUCGCUGCGACUCAUUUAACAGCAGACAUUUUUCAUGGCUAUCACUUUGUUUCUUGUGCGUACCGAAUAAUAUGUGUGAGAAAACUAUGAACUCUGGUAUACGAGUAGAUUUUCCCCUCGGGAUUAAAGAUCGUCUAAAACAGAAGAUCCAAAACGAGAAGCCGAUCCGCCGAAAUGUCGUUCGAUUCCGAGGGUGCUAGAUUAGAUUGACAGUGCGCGUAUCGGCUCGAUGUAAAAGAGCGCAUGGCAUAAAGAGGCGCGACGUAACCGACGUUAUCGUGUGGGUGUAGACGAUACUAUCUCUAAAGUCCGUCGCGAGGGCAUUGCACCGUGCGUGUGUACGCGCGACGGAGGACUUGCAUCACUUAGUUCGCUCCUUUAAGACUCCUUAGUCUUCCUCGGUACGGCCGUCGCCGUACGCGCCGCCUUCGCCGUCGUUGUCGUCGUCGCUGUCGUCGGCGCCGUCGUCGACGUCGUUAAAUUGACACGCUCGCACCUGCGGCGAUCCCCGAGACUCAUUUUCAGGUGGCACCGUGCCACAUCUCCCUUCACGUGACACUGAACGCCGCGAGAGAACGCUGAAUCUCGCGAUACAAAAUCGCAACGUAAAUAAAAAUUAAACAUAGAGAAAAUUCCUACAUAAAAUAGAGUAUUAAGGGGAUGCUAAAGUGCCCGUCAAACUUGAUCGGGGUCGAUAAUGCAGAAUCAUUUGUGCAUAUCAUUAACAAGAUUUCGUAUGUAUUUCUUUUACAGAUUUGAAAAUCCUUUUCCAGAAUUAAAAUACACGUAUUAAUAUUAUUAUAUGAACUAGACUUUAUACCGAAAGUUAAAAAAAAAUUAUUUUAAACUGUUCUUUUUCUGACCUAUAUCUGAAUUUGCAAUUAUAAAAAGUUAAAAAAGCUAAUCUUUUUUUCUAGACUUUUAAUCUUAGUUUGAAUUGCACGAUAUUGUUCGUAUAUCCUAGAGGAAUACGGUUUUAUUUUGUAUCGUAGAUAAUAGAUUUUGUAUACUAAGCAAAUAUUAUCAAGUGAAAGCUAUACUACCAAAAAAAAAAAAAAAUUUUUUUUUAUUUUUGAUAUCAACUCGACCAUAUUCCUCUAGAUUUUGAUGCGCACUUUAAUUCUGUGAAAGACUUUUGCGAUUUUAUAAAGCCAAUUAGAAGAUUAGUUUAUUUAAAAAAUAUAAUAAAAUGACAUUUAGACAACUUUAGGAUUCCCUUAAACAUUUUUAUUUCAAAUAGAUCUUUCUGAUAAAUCAGUUGACAUUUUCUAUGCAAAGAUGUCGAGACGUUAAUAAUCUUUAAAUUUAAAGUGAACAGUCAAAAGACUUUUCACAGACGAGUGAACGAAAAUAUAAGGUCUUAUUUUACAAUUAUUUUAUCAGAAUUUUCAAUCUUAAACACCGGUACAUUUAAUAUCGUAUAUUAUUUACGUCUGAAAUUUAAAUAUAUACGAUAUUGACUAAAUUUUGAAGUUGUUUCAACAUGCUCGCAUGAUAAAAACAAGUGUUCAGACAGAUAUUAAAUGUAAAAUAAUCAAAGAACUUAACCUAAACUGGAGAAAGGUUUCAAUAUCGAAAUACAAGUGGUUUCUGUCUCGCGGAUUUUAUUGUUAUCCCUGUCAUCAGAUUUCUAGUUUCUACGACUUAGUAAAGCUUAUCUAGGCAUUUUUCGUACUAGACAGAGAGAGAGAGAGAGAGAGAGAUACCGGUUCGUCCCUCAUUGAAGUAUCAAGUCAUCGGUACACCGGCUGUAUUCUACAGCGGGUAAUCUCGACCUCGUCAUCAGCGGCAAAUAUCGAUGUCCCAGACGAUAAGAUUCUGCAGACGGACGCGGCAUAACGGGACGCGCAAACGAGUCGCGGCAAGUGAUGCCGCGUAGCGAUUUUUACGUUAAUUAUCAUCGCGAUCUUCCCACCGCGAUGACCGAGCGGUGCAUUAAACGUAGCGCAAGUAGUGUAAUAUAUCCGCGGAACUCGUACAUCGCCGCUGCCGCGAUAUACAAAAGUAAACAGGAAGAUAUCAGCCACGCGUCUAAGCGUAAAUCGUACAUUGCGAGUUAAUUAUUAUCAUACGCGACCGCCUGGGAAAUAAACAAGCAUUACAAGCUCGCUGGCUCGACGCAGUCUCUUAAUCUGUAUAAUCAGCCGCUCGAUAAGCGAUUGCAAUAGACAAGAUUUACACCGAGACGACACACGUUGCCACCCCCUCCCCUUCCGCAACUGUAAAACAAGAUCUCACGUCAAGGAAAAUUAUACGAAGCAGCUGUUCCUCUCGUUAGCAUCCGGGAUUAUUUGCGUUUUCUAGUACCGGCAUCACCCAGCAUCACCAAUAUCACUGACAAGCGCGCGCAAUAAUUUCACUUGGGCGGCAUCCGAAUCGUUAAAAUCGCCGUAAUUAAUGUCAAACCGUCCACCGCACACGGACACAUGGAGGAUUAUAAUAGCUUCGCCUUCAAAUAUACGUAACGAGCCAUACAUGACGCGCUCGAUGUAUUAUUGCCGACCAUGAGAUACAUGUGCGCGUUUUUACCGAGAUUUUUACCGAGCUUAUUUCAUACUACUUGAUCAGAUUUUCCAAUAUAUUAGCAUCCCUUGAAGGGUUAUCAUGGCUUUCGAAUCACGUUUUCAAACUUUUUGCAUUAAAUUACAAAGUAGUAUUUUAUAUUGUAUAACAAAAUAAAAAAACAUUGAGAAAAGAAAUACAUGAUGUGAAUAUGGAUUACGUUUUGAUGUUUUUUUUUAAUUCUUAAACUUAAAUUACUCGAGUCUUUGGCAUGUGUAUUAUAAAAAAUUAUAACUAUAAUUAUAAUUUUCGGAUAAACAACUUUUUGUUAUAUGACCAAACAAAUCGUUUACAUGCAUUUUAGUAAUGUACAAUCUUAUCGUCAACAAUUUAUACUAACAGGAAUGUAGGUUUUAAUGAUUUAAGCAAAUAUUUAACAUUGAAACUCGAAAAACUACUGAAAAGACUAAUCCAUCAUUUGUUGGCAUAGCAAAAAAAAAAUCAAGUUUCCAAUACGUACCACUACUCUUUUCAUUAAAUAUGAUUGAGCGACCUGCAUGUUCAUUAUUCUAAUUAAAGGCGUCUUUCAACAGGACUCACAGGAUAGAUUGCAACCCAUAUAUUCUGUAGGUACAUUCAUUAUCAUCUGAACUGCUUGAUGCUGUACCCCGUCUAUCUGUACGAUAAAACUUCGGCCUCGACACAGCGUUCCAAAUGAGGAACGUCUAAUAGGCAGCAAUGCUCGCUGCCAAGGAAGGAAGGUUAUCGCGCUCGAUACCAAGGAUCUCUCCGAGGCGUGUUAAUCGCCGAGGGGACCGCGCGGUGACGAUUUGCCAUCGCAUCGUCUUGCUUCGCUUGCAUACGUGCGUACGUGCGUGCUUGCGCGUAUGUGCCGCGCGUGGAAGAGACAACAUCACUCUCUCGUCUCUCGCGCGCCGCGAAGAGGCGUUGCGCGAACAGCGACGACGACGAGAGUGUCGGCAUCUUCGGCGAGGCGACGUGGAGAGUAGUGGUGGUGGUUGGCCACCCCUGGCCUGGAUACCGAGGCGUGUUGUUCACCUCCGUGUGAAAGUACUCGCACGCAUGCACGCACGGACGGAGGCAACGGCCGAGAAGUGUGGGCAGAGCGCGUCAUUCGUCGAUGUAAUGCGUUUACAAUAGAGGACACGGUUGUUUUGCAGUUUCGGUAUCCUUCAAGAAAGUAUUCUCGACCUCAUCUCCGCCGCGGUUAAUAUGAAACGAUUACGAAACGAUAAUGAAAGAUACACUACUUUACUUAAUUGAUGUUUUCGUAUUAUUCGCUUUUACGCGGAUUGCCGCGGCGGAAUGAGGUCUGCGGGUGGUCUUUAAUGGAGAAAAAUAAAUUACACGGGAAUUAUAUUUUCGGUUUGUUAAUACUCCGAGAUGUAUAAGAAAUGUAUAAGAAUUCCCAGAAGUGUAUGCACUUUUAUUAAUAUUGAAAUCUCAUUAACUCGCGAUCUCUUUGGUAUAGGAAACCUUUUUUGUUCCCCCCGCACUUUCGGUACUCACGUGCCGGGUUGAAACUUAUACUCGGGAUUAUUUAUCCUUAAACCUAAGUAAUUAAACACGGAAACGAAAUUGAUUCGCGGGAUAAAAAUAUCCGAAAGGAAAGUGUCUUGUUAAACUUCUCUUACGGAAGACGCUCGAGGAACGCGUCAGCUGGAAGAUCUGCGCUCAUACAAGUUAAUUAUAUAAACAAGUACAUAAAAGUAUGCGUCGUCACGUAGUUGCCGAGUAGUUCGAGCGAAACGAUUUGUCAACGGGGUGAUUGUAUUGACUGCUCGCAUUUCCGAUUACGAAAUUUCGUCGGCGGUUUGACGUAAGUGCUCGGAGCUGGUCCCAAACUGGGUGUCUGUCUCUCGCUCUCGUUGCCAGUCCUCCCGGUCCCGUUUCGUCGUCCUCCCUUUCGCCCCGCCCUCAGCCCCUUCGCGGCGGCAAACGUUCUCCCCCUCUCGCCGUCACGCACUUCCGUCGCCGUCUUUACGUCGCCGUUCUCCACAGCUGCCCGGCCGCGACAUAACCGAAAGGACCACAUAGGAGCGGAGUGAUGUACCGUUACGUGGUAGAAUGGCGGUUGGUUGUUAGUGUGGCAGUGUGUUAGCCGGGCAGGAUCACCGUGGGUAGGUAGGUUGGUAGGUAGGCAGGCAGGCAGGCAGGCAGCGCGUGCGCGCGUGCGUGCCGGUCCGCGUGCUGCUGAUGUGGGUGUACGGUGAAGGUAAUGCGAACGGGAAACGCGAGGACGAAGACGACGUGGAGAGGACGAGGAAGAUCUACUACGGACCACCUCACCUAGGAGGUGGUGAGGACGCAACAGCUGUGCGCUGUUCGUAGGUAGUCGGGGAACCUGUCCCUACAAAUCUUUAUAACCGCUACUACCAUUCGUUCUCUCCCGCCAUUCACCUCUUUAUCCAUUUUAUCCUAUCCUCUCAUGUCUCUAUGUCCCUCUCUCACCCCUCUCUCUCUCUCUCUCUCUCUCUUCUCGUUUCUCAUUCUCUGUUCUUCUUCUCUUACUGAUGCCAGCCUUGGCGCACGAUAUACAUCAAAAUCCCUUCGCGGGUAUUAUAAUAUGAUAUACCAGGCACUCCUGGGACGAAGUAAUUCCAAGAUUUCAACGCGAUCGUAAAAACGUCGACUGAUCAAAAUUAGAGAGAAUUAUUCUCUGAAUAACGAGUCUCUUUCCAAGAAGUGUGAAAGAUAUGCGAUUGCUCUUAUUAUUGUCGCAAAAUUAGAGAAAAAUUGUUAAAAAUUAUCACAGAGAACAAGAAAUCUAACCUCUGAUGCAUGUGUAUUUACACGUUGUACACAUAAAGUGUAGAUUAAAUAUUAAUAUCUGUCACAUAUUAGAUUUCUCAAAAAAAGAAAAUUAAUGUCUCAUUUUUAAUUUAAAUUUUCUUUGACGAAAACAUUAGUCAAACUUAGGAUGACCCUAGAAAAAGUUUAAUUAAAUUGGAGAUUAAAAAAUGUUAAUUACAUUUUUUUGAGGUCCACACGAUUACAUAAGAUGGACUUUUUCGGUUAAUUUUCUACAAGAGAAUUCAACAAAUAUAUCGAGUAUGACGAAAGUCACGCACCGUGUGAUCUCAGAAAUAUCCGGGACAAGCUCACCAUUACGUGACAAGCUCAACAUAUUCGGGAUGAAGAUUAAUCUUUUACUCGUCGCGAUGCAAAUAUUUGCGCCUCAACGAGUUGUCCCACUGUGAGUGACUCCAGCUGUCACGUACAACUCGAUAUAUUGCGCUGUCAAUGGGGUUCAAAAUUCUGCGCAACUAAUAAAAACAGAUCAUUAGAUUCAUCUAUGCAAGAGAAAGAGAGAGAAAGAGAGAGAGAGAGAGAGAGAGAGAGAGAGAGAGAGAGAGAGAAUGUUUCGACAAGUCGUUCCGCUCGAUACAAUCUGACAGUGUUCAAAUGCCUAAUUUAAUCUGGCUGUCAAGGGCUUAAUUGCGAAGGAGGAAAAAGCUCCGCUGUGAACGUCAUCGUGAAUAUUAACGUCGUGACUAGCAAUGUCACGACUUAUCGUUGCGAGACGGGCCCUGUUCGCGUUAGCCCUGUCCGUUUCUAUACAAGCAACGUUAAAAGACAAUUAAUCUGAAUAACUCAGCCUAGACCCGAACUCGUGUCCUACAUUUUGUGACGCAGCCACAGUGUGUUUGCACGUUGGACACUUCUAAUCGAGAAUAACCAAGAUGACGCAGUUAAGAUAUGGUUAUAAUUAGAAUAUGGUUAUAUAGUUGUAGACUUUGCAUAGAACAUCAUAACAAGACGCGAUAUGCAGCUCAGAUCGGUUAUAAAGGGUAACAUAAAUCGGACAAAAUUGAUCGACGGUAUAUGUGAUCAUAAUAGAUAUUCAAUUUAUAAUAAUACAUCUAAUAAUAGAUUCAAUUUAAUAAUAGAAGUCUAAUUUUCUUCACAAUUCCAGACAUUUUGUAUAAAGACGUGUAUGAUGGACUUAAAAAAGUAUAUGUAAAGAUCAAUACUCACUUCAAUAUUCACUAAAUUUUAGAUUAUUAGUUUAAAUAGAUAACAACGUAGACUUAUAUCUUACUAAUCUGGGUCAAAAAUGAUUUCUAAUUUCUUAUUUUAAAUUUAGUCGUCCUAAUAUUUUAAGACUAUUAAUUUGAAUAUGUAACUCUUAUUUUGAUAGAAUUUUUUUCAUUAUGCUCAAGUUAUUUGCUUUUUAGUUAUACAAGUAUAAGUUACAUCUUAUAACACAAAUCAGUUGUAAGUAAAUAUAAUACAAGAACAAUUAAAUAUUUAAAAUACCAAAGUUAUUAAAUAUAUAAUAAAAACGAUUAGUCAAGAAGCUGCUCUAAAUUACGUUUAAAUACAUACUUUAUAUAUAGCAAACAGUUACCAUACAGCAUCUUACUCAUGGUUAAUUCAUUUUAGACAUUGGAAUUCUUGAUACACUAUUGAUAAUAAAUGUCGCUUGAUGCAAAGCGGCGCUUUCGUAACGAAUGGCCUGCAGUUUAUAAAGAUUCCACUGUUUUGGCAAUGAUACGACAGUACGACAAGCAUUGAUUAUACACACUCCUCUAAGCGUUUCAGCCGUAUAUCGAUGAAAUUUAUAUCUUCUCAGUUUAUUAGCUAACUACAUCUAACCGGCGCGAAGAAGUUAUUUCUCGCGAUAACAUCGAGAGAGAGAGAGAGAUGUUCGCCACUGGCUUAACCGGCUCCUCGCCAACAUCUAACCGUAUCCUGCAAGCUAAUCUGCAUCGCCUGCUCGAAAUAACAUUACCGCCACCUCGAGAUUGGAGUUUAAUGCCGCCGAUCGUUACCGCUCUAUCGAAACGCUCGUCUUCCGGCGUGUGAUACUCCGUCAAAUAGUAUAGAAAACGCCGCUCGCGCUGUUUUAUUCUCCUCGCCACCCUGGUUGCGUGCGCGAUCGUAAAAUCUAAGAUCGAGGAUACAUAAAAGAUGCGGGAGAGCCAUAAAAUUUCGUUAGCCGAUCUGAUACGGAACGGGUGAGAGAAGGUAACGGGCGUCGCGUCGAAUGAGAGAGAGAGAGAGAGAGAGAGAAGGGGGAGAGGAGAAAAAAGGGGCCGAAACUUAUCCGAAAUUCCACCGCGAGAGGUUACGCCGCGUUCCUGACUCUCUGCCCCCUUCACUCCCUUCUCGCACGAGCGAGGAGACUCUCACCUCCCGAUUCCCGAUAAACUUGAGAUUUGAAGGACGUAGACCGGGCAGCGACGCAUAAAGUGAAGAGACACGGCAACGUAAAAGGUUUGGAAAGUCCGAUAACGAACGCGACGGCGCGGGGUCGCGCGUGGGUGUCGGUGGAAUUGAUCGUGCCCCCGCUUGGCUAGUCCAGCCACGUUGUGGACCCGCGCCAAGAACCAGCCGGGGCCGUUCCUGUUCCCGGGCGAGCGUCGCCUUCGUAGCCGGCGGCCCAAACAAUGUGUCCGAGUCAACAAGGUGACAACGCGAGACCCCUCUUUCAAAGAGCCUGCCCUCUCUCAUCGCCGUCUCUUAUCACAAAAAUUCCAUUUCAAGUCUGCCGCUCAAAGUUCCUGACCCGACGCAAGGCGACACCUCGAAGGAUUUUACAUUCGGUUCGAACUCUACGUUUUUCUUUCGAUAAUCUUUGAGGAAAGUGUAGAUUGCCCACUUGUAUCGAUCGAAAACCAAUUGAAAUUAUACAAAACGCGGAGGAAGUUAUCGAAAUAAGAAUAGAAACGGGUCAGCGAGUCUCUACGUAAACUUUUAAGUCGCGCGUAUUCCAGCGACCGAGAUUUCGGAGGAAGAUGUGCGGGCAAAUGGAUAACGCGGAGAUAUUAGAUAAAGCUACAGUCCAGGGGAGAGUUAUGAAACUACCGGCGCAAAGCCGUGAGUCGGGACGGUCGAAUCUUUACGAAGCCAAACUUCUAAGCGGGUUCCUUUUUCGAAACAAAACGGGCAAAGGCGCAUUCCCCAACGAACGUCAGACGAUGCUUCACAAUGGCGUCUGAGAUAGUCUGAUGAGGUUAUUUGUUACAUUGUUCGGAUAUAAUGGAGUGGGCCUUGCAACGAAUCGCUCUGAUCCCCCUUUCUGGCGCUCGAAGGAUCUCUCUGGACGAACCUUUGACGAUGCGUUAGCCCGCCGCUGGUCUCAGGGUCAACCGAAAAUUUUAGACAAAAUAAAUUUCUAAGUAAUUAUAUCUCUCUUACAGUUUCAAGAAUAGGACACAAAUUCCAGAGAUUUAAUGAAAUUUGACAAAUAAACUCAAAUAAUAUGAAAGAAAAAAAGAAGUGUGCGGUAAGCAGAUAUAAAUAUCUACUACAGCUAAAAAUAAGACUUUCACGGCAGAUCCAGUCGAAUCCAGAUUACAAAAAACAUGUCCACAUUUAGUGAUAUAAAUGUCGAUUGUAAACUUUUUCUUGUUAAAUAUGAAAGAAAUUGGUAGUCUUUCUUUAAUUCUCGUUGUUUGUGAAUAUUUUCCAGAUAACUUACAAUUAAUUCUAAAAGAUGCGACGAUUUCGGAGAAUCACUCGGAAUAAACACGAAAUCGCAAGCGUACCGUGUGGUAUAAUGUGAGCGUGUCGCGUUUCAAGAUAUCCGCAAACGUCGCUACGGCCCCCGUUUACAAUUGCGAGUUAAAACGCAAGUUAAUAAAGUACGUAAAUCGCGGCGCAGUAAAUGAAACAACGGCAUUAAGCUCCUGUUAUCGCGAUCUUUAUGCGAUGCCGACAGAACCCGCGGGAGAACAUACACCGAGGGAGAGAAGAACGAGAGAAGGGAGAGAGAGAGAGAAAAGUUCUCCGUCUGCGCGAUUAUCUUACGAUCGGAUUGCCCGACGACGACCCGACAUCCUUGACCCGCGAACAAAUCUUACGGACUCUGUCGACCCAAAGACUCUCCUCUGAGCCGCGACCUGGGGGACCCGGGGUCUCGAGGUUCGAAGCAACGGUGCCACGUGUACAUGUCUCGCGCCCGGUACACCCGCGCGUACACACAUACGCAUAUGCAUAUACACGUAUCCUCGACGCGCCGAUACGGGAAACCGCAUUCGAACGAACAAAGAGGAUCACCCCCCGUCCGCCCGUCCGUCCGUCCGUUCGUCCGCGAGGAGGAGCCGCCAAGGACUCCGGCGGCAAUUAAUUCUUCGUCACUGGCUUGCGAUAGGUGGACGUUCGACGGGGCAGAAUAAAGGAGAAAGCAUUGCAGGUAGAAAGAGCGAAGAAAAUGAACAAAAGAAAAUAGAGGAAAAGAAAAAGCGAGAAGGAAAAGGGGAACCGGCGAGAGAAAAGGAUAGAGAAAAGCGGAACAUCCGCGGACCCCUGGAGACGAAUGAGCAUGCAUAUACGUAGUAUACGUCAAGCCACUGUCGGACAGCGUGUGCAUAAUUGAGUACGCGCGCGAGUGCGAGCGUGCGUGAGUGUGUCUACUACGUGUACGUGUACAACCCGAAAUAAGCGUUACGCGUACAUACGCGAGAGCGCGUGUGCGAUCGGACUGUCGGGGGGAGGGGGGGGGAGGGGGAGUGUCUGGUCUCGCCCGGCGUUGAAUGCGCUGUGUAAUCACCACCUACCAUGUAAACGCCCCGGCAAUGGUAAUAGCUCGUUUAGAGCACUCACAUGCGGUUAAUUUCGCGAUUCCUCACCGGCACCGCACUGCACCGCGCCGAGCGACGUUCGAAGGAGGUUUUCCUCCUCCGGUCCUCGAUGGUUGGCUUCGAGGAUGGGGGAGGGAAACGCUAAAAGGGACGAAAAGAAAUAGCGACGAUGUCCUUCGUCCCGAUCGGAGAUAUUUCUAUUUUCGUAAAGCGACGCGCGAAGGCUCGUGUGUCGAAUCGCUAGGCAGUCCCGCGAAUCGAUUGGACCCGCGAGAUCCGUCGUGCUGACGGUAUCGCGACACAUCUCGGAUCGAGACGAAUUUUUGAGGGUUCAACUGAUGGACGCGGCGAUGUGCGAAUCGGCAACGCUUGUUUCGGCAGAGACCAUUUCGGCCGGCCGCCCGUCGUAAAUCACUUUUCGCAAAAGCCUUCGCGUGCGGGUGGUCCUGUCGCGGUUGAUUCGCGAGAAUGCAGCCGCACACGGCACAAAAACGCGAUUAACUCUUUAGCGUCCUUUUAAAAUCCGAGUCUGUAUAUUAUAAAUAUUAUAUAGCUUGAGAGUCGAUCCAUAACGGAAAGGAAUGUUGAGACAUCAAGUAGUCUCUAGGCGAUAAGGGCGAUUCUUUAACGGACCGUUACAUCACGGAUAGAUAAAUAUUUGAAGUCGUACGUUAAACAACUAUACGACGGAAGACCGAACCGCGUUUAAAUCAGUGAACGGUCUGUGUAGAUAAGAGGAAGGUUGGGAAAUGUCGUACAUCAAACAUAAUCGAUAGACAUACUUUUUAUUUAUCUAUCAUACCAGUUUUUCGGUGAGGUUUUAGAUUAAUUAUCUGGCUUUCAUAAUCUCACACGAAUUAGGAUUUUUCAUCGAUUUGUCCCGGAACCCGGUUUAUAUUAUGAAAUCGAUGUGCACCGUAUUUCCCAGAAAGAAACUGAAUUAGCAUAGAUAGAGCAUCGUAACCAUUGUUGGAGAGAAGCGGUAUUUUCGUAUUUUAGAAAGCAAGCUGACGCUGAUAUUGUUUUAUUCCGCGGCACGCUGGUCGCGGAGAGUACGGCAUUGCUGAUUAGAAUUCCUAGCCGGAAGUAGGCCGCGGGAGGCACUGCAACAUUGUAUUAUUGCCAAGUCAUUCCGCUGAUGUUGUACUUCGUCAAUUCCUAUUAUUCCCCACCUUCCCACGUCUUACAUCCGCCCGCGGAGCAAAUGCUCUUCCUUCCGCUUCGCUCGAGACCUGCAUUCAAGAGUAGCUGUGACACAGUUUGCGUGUAUCGCGCUGCUUAUUGCGCUUAUUGCCGGAGUCAGUAUCUCGUCCACUUCGUUCUUCCAACGACCCCACGAGCAAGAUAUCCCAAUAUCUUAGUGCGCAUGCAAACGCGAUGCCAAAUCGAUCGUUCGGGACUCUACAUGAGACUCCACUUUUGUCUUAUAUUAAAAUCAAAUUUUCCUCUCGCAAAAAAUAGAUUUAGAAAUUAAAGCAGAGAGAGACAGACAGACAGAUAGAAACGGAGAGAGAGAGAGAGAGAGAGAGAGAGAGAAACAAUGAUAAUCAUUUUACAAAUUUGCUCCAGUUUCCAAAGUAGAAAUGUAAAACUCCGUGCAACACAGCAAUAUAAAAUUUGUAAGUUGCAAUGAAACCUACGUUGAGAAUCGUUUUUCAAAUUUAAACGAAUUUCAGAGCGGCAUGUACGACGUAAAGAUGAUCAGCGUUGCGGACGGAAUAUUAAUUAUGCAAUAUCGGCUUAAUGACAACCGUAGAUGGAUACAUUUCGAACAAGGGCACAGUCCUCCAGACGGUAUAUCCCCGAUAUUAAUAGCCAUCGAUAACAAUCACGCUAAUAACGUCGACGCAGCCCGACGCCACAAUGCGUCAAUAAGGCUGAGUUGCAGAAACGCGAUAUCUCGGGUUUGCAUUUAAUACCGCGCCGUCAUUACAAUCACUGUGUACAGUUAUCCUCGACCCCGUGUCCCGCCGUACUCCCGGAAUAUUCCCGCGAUGUAACAGCGGAACGCACUUUACGCUUUCAUCACGGGGGCGUGUAAUUAACGUGCAAUUCAAGCUCCUUCUGGAAAAUGCACGUUCGCUUCAUUUGGCGAAAGGCAAUAUGUUCAGCGUGCGCCAAGGAUAUUUACAAUGCGCCGGUAUGCGACGAGGAGGAGCGAGAACGUUACUGAAGGAAUGCCCGGUACGACGUGUUCCUGGUUUGCCGCAUUCUUCUGUACACAUCUGCUCACGUCCUUUAUCAGCGCAUUUAAUGCCAGGCGCAAUUCCCGAAUCCGUUUUAGUCGUUUUAACACUUGAUUAUGCUCGAUGUGUGUAGGUCUAAUAUAAUAGAAAUAAUAAAAAUAUGAUUCUUUUAUAAGUUUCCCCAAUUAAUAGAUAUGCUAUAAAAAAUCAUAUUUAUAAGUACUACAUAGAAUAUUGCAAUUUAUCUUAUUAUAUCUUGUCAAUCAUUUGCAAGUGUAUAGAUAAAUUAUGUACGCAAAAUAUUCGAGAAAAGGUCUCUAUUGUCGGUAAAGAAGACUGUGGCAGCAACUAACUGUAUCUCUAAAAAAUUCAAAGAGUGAAAGUAUUAUAUGUAGACGAAAAAACGGCAUCGCGUCUUUCUCUCUGCCUCUUACAUUUUAGGUAUGCGUGACCUCGAAAUCCGGGGUGAAGCACCUCGUAACUAUGAGGCUAGCGCCUUAACCCGUGGAAGGGCCUUAACAAGGGCCUCGCAUGACAUUCCUUCGGGACCUAGUUAGGCCCGGGGCUACAGUUAGCCGCGGGGAUGGAUCUCGGCGUACUUGUAUCGGUAUCGCCAUGUGUAUCCUUUACCUACACCAACGCCGGAGAGCACUAAAGUGACCAACCGGUCACCUGGGAACUCGUCAAGCAUCUGAGAACGUACCAGAGACGAGUCGACCGUAACUAUAAGACCGGCGUCGUCACGGCCACCGUCGUCGCGCGAUCCGCAGGUGCGCCAUGAUCGGCCCGCAAGUAAACGCGUGAAUAUACAUAGAUCGCAUACACACAAGCAUACCUGCGGCCGGCCGCCCUGAGUUCCACCACAAUUCGCGACAUGUGGACGUGCGGUGUCGUGUUCGAUCAGCCGGACCUCUCAUGCGCAAACGCGACCCAUCGUUUUCCCGCCGUUCCUUCACACAUCUGUUCCUCUUUCUCAGUAAACUAUUAGCUCGUUGCCUAAACGCUUCUUUCGUAAAGUUUUUAUACCACUAAACAUCUUGAUGAAUUUCAAAUAAAAGGGAAAUGAAUGUAGAACGGAAUGGUCGUGUAUUUAUAUCUCCGAAACUUAAUUUACCUAAAUUCACUCAUCUAUAAUGAUAAAACACUGUAAAGCGCUUUGUUGAUUCAUCAAAAUAAAGAUGACUCUAUCGUAUGUCAAGAGAUCCCUAUAGAAAAAGAGCGACGAUAGUUAUCGGACACCCUGUGUAUGCAAUUACUCUCUCCUUCUCGCGAGUUCUCUCGCCUUCCUCCUCAUGACAUUUCUCCGUCUUCGCAUACACUAGUUUUACCUCCUCGCAAAGAAGUCAGGUGCUUCUCUCUCCUUUCCGUCUCCCUCGCUCUUUUUUCCCUUCCUGGUAAUGCCGUUUCUCCAUCUGUUUGCAAGCAAGCGCAUACCAGUUUACCUUAGAAAAGGAAGGUUCUACUUUCACUCGAGGACUCUCGAUCUACAAACGGGGAGCAGAGGGUGUCGCUCGUCUCGCUAUCGUUGAGGAAAAUAGGCCGACAAGUUUUCAUUCAAUGCCCUUAUGUCAAAGCGCGAAUUAACGGGCUGGCGAGCUGGACAAUAAGCACAUCGAGUAAUCGUAGUUUGAGCCUAAAAUUUCUCUUUUAACGACAGGAAUCACUUUGAGACUUUAUACGAUUUACAUUUGCGUUAAUUAGUCACUGCUAUGUGUAUAAUUAUUACAAAUUUAAUUUAAAUUACUAUUAAAUGUUUAAAUUAUUUUUUUCAACUUUUACUUAAAGCAUAAUAGGCAUUGUUGCGUGCUUAUUUAUAUUGUACAGAGUGUUUCUAAAAUCUGUUCCCUUUAUUCUGAAAACUGGUCGAAAUUAUGAAAAACUGUGAAAUAUGUAUUAAAUCAUUUAGAGAAAUAAUUCUUUCAAGAUGGCAGUAGGAAGAAGAUAGAGUAAAUCCCUCGAAAUAAUUGAACGUGUAUUUCGCGAUUUUUCAUAAUUUUAAACCGUUUCCGAAAUAUAAGGGAUGAGAACGGACUUUAUAGAUUUAUUAUUGUACGACUGCUGAUUAUUGUAAAUUUAAAAACAAAAACGCUAUACGUUGCACUCGAAGAUAUCUUUAUAAAUUUUGAGCUCAUACUCCGUAACAUUUUAAGGCUCAAUUGAUUAAUAUUAAUUCCAGGUCGGAUUUCUGUUGUGCUAUACAGUUUCUAACGACGUAAUCCGGGAUUUGCAAUAAGCCUCGCAGUCUUCAACCUCGCGAGGUGGCAAAUGACAUCGGCGACGGCUGUCCAUUCGUCUUUGUCCUAGUAUAAAGUCGACCGCUAUCUUGACACGUUUGUUAAAGCAGUUACCGGUGACAUACUAAUUGUCCAUAUGUAUUCUCGUUCCCUCUAUAAGGAAGAUUUUCAUUGUUCGUACAAAAGAACAGUAGUAUGUGCAUUUAUGUUGGCAAAUCUCUAUGUCAGAAAUUGCACUGUUACGCAACAGAGACGUUGCAUUGUUAUUCUUAUCGGGAUACGUCCAUUUUCAUGAAAUAUUACAUUUUAUCACACGUUCAUACGCGAAAACGCAAAUAGCAUAUGACGCUUUGAUAAAUAUUUUGUCGUUAACUCUUUGCUGUUGUUUAUUGAUUUAUUGGAGUGUUCGUUUGUACGUAUAAGCGUAAAACGACGAAGUCUUUAAUUACACAGCGAUGUCAUUAAUCCGUUUAUUCGUCUAAUUUUAUUCACCCCGGGUAUCGACGUUAUCUUUUUAUUACAUGCAUUUUAGCUCGGGCUAAACUCUACUAUUAUUAAUUCGAGACGAAGUGAUAAGUAAUAUUAAUAAAAAUAUUCUCUCUCUCUCUCUCUCUCUCUCUCUCUCUCUCUCUUUCUCUCUUGUUCUUUAGAAUUAAUUAGCUUCCAUUACCUGAAUAAAUUAUCUUUGUAAGCGAAAGGCUAAUAAUAAUACAAUAUAAAUUCGAAUGACAAUGUAUUCCUUUCUUUUAAUUUUAAAGUUAGAUCUAUAUAGAAGAAGUCAAUAUAUAAAACUGCUUAAAAAUCAAUGAAAUAUGUCACGAAACAAUUAAGGAUUAGUUGGCGACAGAAUUGUUAUUAAAAAAGUUCAGUAGAAAAGUAAUUUAGUUGUAAAACAAAGAAACCAUUUCCUCAUCCUUCAAAUACGUCUUGCUAUUAGAGGUCAUUGGGUCUGUUAGACUCAACGUUACCACCAAGUUAAUAAGAGCGUUUCUUGGAAGGAUAACAAGCAAUUCUGAAGCACUUCGUGCGUUUAAAAGAAAGAAUAGUAUUCUCCAAUAAGUCAAAUAUAUGUAAAGAAUUAGAAAUGUCUAAAAUAGUUUAUCCAAUCUCCCAUAUAUAUCAAUUAUGCUGAAAGGCUAUUAUAUAUUCGCAAUCAAUGUGUUUCUGAUGUAAUAAUAAUCACCGAUCUUAUUUUUGCGAUUAAUCCUCACACGACGCAUCAAUUUCCGCAAGACCGACCGAGCUCUACUUCUAAACGUCGCAAAAAGUCUUGAGCUCUGACGAGCAGUGCGCGAUGACUUUUUUUCCCUCUCGAUCCGGAUCGAACAGCUCUGCAACAAUAAAAACUACAUCCACAUGGCCCAUACCGCCGCCGCCGCCGCCGCCGCCGCCGCCGUCGCCGUCGUCGUCGAGACGCUCGCGCGGGGGUUUAAAAGGCGCGGUGCAACCCGCGCGCGGAUAUAUAUCCUGCCGCCUCGUUCGCGUUCGUGCAAAUAUUGGCGGGACGUGGAAUUUCGGGUAUAUUUUAAGAGAUUCAUCUGGCGAGAGUCGAAACGUUCCGAGAAGCAAUUUCGAUCUUUACGAUGCUUAUUCUCGAGCGCCGGUGCACCGACGCCCGAAAAACAAGACAGAAUCCGCGUGCAGUCCCCCGCCUUAUCGUCGUCGUCGUAGUCUUCCUUCUCCUCUUCUAUCUUCCAUCUUCAUCAUAUAUUCUUUUCUCUCUUCGAAAAAGUUGCAAGUAAUCCUGAACAACAAUCGGCAUUUCGCAGCUUCUUUUUUUCAAGGUCAGGAAAUCGAUGUACCACCGGUACCGUCGCCAUCGUUCCUUCUCCUCCAUCGCCAUAGUGGUUUUCUCUCGUUCUUCUCCUCCUUCUUCUUCUUUUUCUUCUUCUUCUUCUUUUCCUCCUCCUCCUUCUUCGUCGUCCAUUUCUCGUCUAUCUUUUUUUUUUUCCUCUCCGCCACAGUGAGUCCACGGUGGUUGCGUGUUAAAUGUCAAUGGCGGCGGCGAUCGUCGCAUGUAUGUUUAUCCGAGUGACUGCAUUUGGGCAGCCUUGGUAGGCGCUAAAAUUCUCACUUUCAGCCUCGUUGAGGUCAGCCAGCGCGGACCUAGCCGAAAUUCCGAGCGCUGAUUCAUCGUGGGAUCGCGCGUGAUACCGAGAGAUCCCGAACGGCGAAAGAGACAGAAGAGAGGAAGGAUAGAGGGAGGAGGAGGAGGAGGGAAGGAGGGGGGAGAGAGGGAGAAAGAGAGAGGUAGAGAUUCUCUCGCAAAGCGAGCACACGACGCCGUCGUAUAUUAAUUAUAUCGCGCGAUGCGUCAUGCGGAUCAUACGUUAUGAUUCGAUUUCCGUUGCGAUUGAAUUUUUACGAAGCCCGCGACGUAAUGGCGGGAUGUGAUUCAAUGCGAUUCAACGUAUUCGAUCAAAAAACAAGACAGAUACGCCGACAUUGGUCCGCCAGACGGUCUGCCGACUUUGAGUAAUAUUGAUCGGUGAGCGACGUUUACCUUGCAUAUUUUGACAAAUUCGCACUGGCCCGACUAAAUGCGCCAGCUGGAUACAAUCGUCGUUUCUCAGAGGACACCAUAUCGAAGACAAUAAAACUAGUUUUAUUGGCUUUAAGGAAAGUGUAAAUUAAUGUCUCUAAUAUCAGAGCGCGACGAUGAGCGACGAUUUCGGAUGAAUUUGUCGACAGCACAGGAUAAACUUUCGCGAGGAAGAUUUUAGGUUUAUUGCCAGACUGCGGUACUUUUUGUUUAAAAAAAAAAAGUGCAUUCCAUUGUAUGCAUUCAUAAUAUGACGCAAAUUUGUAAAAAUGAAACAUACGGGAAGUUGAUAUAUCAAUCACAUACUCGUACGGCCAUUCGGAAUUUAUAACGAUCGCUGCGCAUACCGGUUAUCUAGAUCUGUAGCUGUUGUUGGCAAAAUGAUUUAUGAAAGAUAUAAGAUAUGAAUUAUAAUAUCAACGCAUCCGCUUUAGUCACGACGCGAGAUAGCGGAGGAGAGGUAUUAAGCCGAGAAGUAUUUCGCGGGGCUUCGAUACUGGUUUUCAGCCACGCUGAAAUAAUUGAAAUCACGCGUUAACGAAAUUGAAAUCUCACCUAAAAUGCAUAAGCGCACAAAUAAGCAGAUAUGCACAGAGAGAAAGUCCGACACGUUCAGUCGCGAAGGAAGAAAUCUGUCAACGCGUGAUUUCAGUCUCCCAUCGCGGACGUAAAUAAGCAAAAAAUAAGCAUAAAUCGCAACGCGUUAUCUCGCACUAUAUAUAUGGUAUAUAUAUAGAAACGUCGUUGCCAAGUGAACUUCUAUAGGAUUACCCAUCACGUGUAAAAGCUUAUGCAAUAUCCAUGCAGUGUGCGUGUGUGUGAAUUACAGGCGAACGUGUAUCGAAUAAAAUCACAUGAAAAUAGCGUACGACGAUAUUAACGCAAAAAGGAAUCAAUAUUAAGCAAUAUUAAGCUAGAUAUCGUUCGGUCAUCAAUACAUAUAUAUACCUACGCGCGCCUCGUUACGAGGACGAGUGCGAAAUGUAAGUCGGCGCAGGAUUGCUCCUCGGAGGAGGAGCAAGGAAAUCGCACCGUGACCGGAUAUACGGCGAUAAAACCGAAAGUGGCGUGACGUAGUCCGCGCCCCGGGUUUCCCCCCACAACCAUACCUCCUCUUUCCCCUCCUCCUUCGUCUGUCGUUCUUCUCCACCUCUUCCUCCUCCUCCUUCUUCUCCUCUUUCUCCUCGUCCCAUUCCGCAGUCUUUCUCUUCUCUUGCAGCGCCGGUCGUUUAUGCUCUUGCCAAGGUUGUGUUCCGUGUGACCAUGCUCAAAGCCAUGUCGUAUAUAUGCAAAGUAAAUGCAAGGUCGUUCGCGCGUGUCCCUGCUUACAGCGCGUGUGUACCAGCCUUCGUGCGUGCGUGCGUGCGUGCGUGCGGACAUACCGUGCGUGCGAGCGCUCGAGCGCGCGCGCGCGCGCGACUUGUCGGGCGCGAGUAGCGUGCGAGGAGCGCGGAAUGACGUGGCUACGGUCUUGGCAAAAAUUGCCGACGUUUCGACGGAAAGCUCGGCUGCUUGACCGAGACAAAACUAGGCCUUGAAGUGUCGCGAAGUACCGGGCGGGCGCACGCCGCGCGCCGUCGUCGCGCGCCCGCCGGAUUUUGCGUCCGAACGGGAUCGCCAGAGCGAAAUCUCACGAGACGCAGCGACGAUUGCCCGUGUGAAAGCAGUCAAACCACGAUUUCAUAUUGAAUUGUUAUUAAUGUUCUCUUAUUACACAAGUAAAAAAUAAUUCUAGAUAAAUGUAUUAAAAACUACAACGCUUCAUUCUAUAUCGACUCAAUGUUAGUUGGAGUUAUAUCGUGACGUUUAAUUAUUCUACUCUUGUUCCAAUUUAAUUUUUGACAAUUUUUGAAAUUGAAAUAAUAAACAAAUUGAUAAAUAAAUUAAGUGUUUAUGGAUAAAUUAGAAUUAAAAAUUAUAGGGAAGAUGAUACAAUAUUAUAGCUACUCGUAAUAUCGUUAUUAUUAGGUAGAGAAUUCUAGCUAUUGUUUAUAAAAUUUAUUGUUUAGCAACAGUUUAUGUAUUAAACAUAUUUGCUUAUAUUCUGCAAUAUUUUCUUUUUAUUUUGACUAAAUAUACAAUUUCAUAACGAAACGCUGCGUUUUCUCUUAUCGAUCCAUUAUGCAGUGUCAUCACAUUUUUAUAAAUAACAAAAAUAUUAAAUAUUUAUAGAUAUUGAAUCUAGAAUCAACAUAUCUUGAGUAACAUAUUGACAAAUAGAAAUGUUUUAACUAUUUUUAUUUUAAAAUAUAAAUUAUUAACAAGGUUAUUGCACAAAUAGGCUAUAAUAUCACCUUUUGCUAUACUGAAUUCUAAAAACAGGAAACUGAUAACAUUGAUAAUUCCUUCGCACUCAGACAUUUUCUGUAUUUUUGUAUUCGUGAAAUCACAAUUUAGGAAAUAUAAUUAAAAAAUUGAAAUAUAGUUGAUUGAAAUAGUAAAUAUACGACAGACUAUAUAACAACAUUUUUUUUCUUUAAUAUGCUUCACGUAAUUAUGGAAUACGAUGAAAGGAAUUUUUAGUAUAAAUCUGCGAAUAAUAUAAUAGGUAUCGUAGUGAGAGCAAAAUGAUGCUUCGUACACUUUGCGUUCCAAGUAUGUAAAGUAAAGGCUAAACCUUGAAUGAUAUUUAUUGGCCUGUUCUGCAUACUAGAUUCAAAAAUAGCUGAUUCAUUGUACGUAGUAGUGUGACUUUCAUUCACGUAACAAUCCGCACACGUGGAUUCUGAAUCCGCAUGCGAGAAACCUCAAUGUCACCGUGAUUGUUAACAGAAAUCCGCAAGUUAAUCUAUUGGUUUAACAAUUUACUAAAAUAGAUAUGUAAAUCUCGAGAGAUGCAUUUUCUUAUGAAUAUUAAAUAGCGAGGGUGAGAAAUACGGUCAGGGGCAGUUCAUAUAUUAAUAAUUUAAUAAAUAAGAUAAGAUAUGCGACUAGACGGAAUUAGAAUCUGAAUGUUUAAUCAAUAGAGCGCGGAAGUAGAUAAAUUAAAUUGGAAAUUUAAAAGAAAAAAAAUUUCCCACAUUUUCUGCAAAUAGUAUUGUAAUGUAUUGUAUAAUGUAUAAUAUUUAAGCAAUAGAGAAAUAAAUACAGAAAUAUCACGAAGAGGCAGUUGUGAUUUAAUGUCUGAAAAAAAAAAGAUGCCCAUUAGCGAAGUAGCGAGGUCUAGAGAAUAUUUGUCUAGUGCGACAGGAUUUUUUUUAAUUUUUAUGACUCGAAUAAUAAAAUUUUAAUUUGUAAUAUCAUGUAUUAAUUAGAGUUUUGCAGAAGUAGAUGCAUUUUCCAUUGAUAUCGAAAUACGCAACCUUAUCUCGAGUCGUUUGCUCGAAGAUAACAAGGCAGCAGUGUAUACAUUCUUAUCGGAUACCUAUAUCCUCAUUAGAUGUGACUGAGAUAUAUUUAGUCUAGAUGUAUCAAAUGAUAUCAGAAACUAUAAUACGAAUUGAAAACUCCAAAUAAUAAUAAGUAAUGUCAAUUUUAUGAUUUAAAUAGUAAACGUGCUAAACAUGGACGCAUCUAACACAAUUAAACGUAAAUUCUUUUCAAUUUUAUUUUCCGUAUAUGUAACCGUAUAUAUAUUUCUGUAUGUGUAUAUAUAACUGAAGCUCAUGUAUUAUGUAAAGCGAGAGAGUCAAAGAGAUAGAAAGAGAGAACACAGUUCUUUUCUAUAAAUAUAUGAUGAUGACUUUUGCAAUGAACAGCAUCUAUAUUUUGUCUUAAGCGAGUGAAGGAAAUCCAACUUGUUGUUUCAAUUAAUUAUCAGGGCGGUGCCCUUUUCCCCCUUACACACAUCACCCGUUCACAUAAAGGCGCAAUUAUACUGAAAGUUAAAUAAAGAUUUCGAUUUCGGGCUGACGGAGAGAGGCCGCGAUUACACUCCGAAGAGACUUUUAUUCGACUUUGCCGGCCCGGAUCACGCGGCAAGAACGCGCGCGUCCAUCUACGUGCAGACGGCGGUGUGUGCGCGGUACACACGCACUGUAACCACGCCGGACUACCUGGAUGUGCUCUCGGGCUCCAAUGGUCCGCAUUCCAAAAGUCAAGGACUCUCUCUCGAAUCCCGAUCCGGACGUCGGAGGCGCCUCCUCUCUUUCCGCCACGUGCCUCGCCUUCUCAGGUCUCUCUCUCUCUCUCUCAUUUUAUCGUGUCUUUCCUCGUUCCCAGCCGCGAGCGAGUGGCCGAGAAAAGUGCUUACGACCUGGCGAAUCAUCCCGAGUAUCCCCCAUUGUAUAACACGUUUGAUCGAUGAGCAACUUACCGAGCCGAGCGUCGGACCCUUGAUGAAAAAAAAAAAAAGGACAACGAUCGAAAUAUCGUUGCUACAGACGUCGUUACGUCGAAUUAUCGGUGUAAAUACUGACCGCGCGAACUCGAUCGCGUUCCGGAUGAAUUUACAGCGGACGAUUUUUCUUUCUUUUUUUUUUUUUUUACCGAGAAUCGUCGAUAAAAUUCUCCCGGCAACGUGAUGCUUCGAUGAGGAAAUCGAUUCCCUGUUAUCUUCCUAACGACUAUCAUUGGCUCGAUUAUUGAAUGUAAUAAUAUGUUAUUAUUACAUGUUGAUGUAACAUUAAUGUGUAACAACUUUGUUCGAAGCGAUAUGCAAAAAUCUUAAAUAGAAAUCAGAAAUUUUUAGAAAAAAAAUUUUGAUUUUUAAAUUUUGUUUUUUCAGCGAAAUGUAAAAACGUUAUAUCACGUUAAAAAAAAUGGCAAAUUAAAUAACGCUCGCUCACAUAGGAUACAUAUUCAUACGUAUAAUAUGUAUUAGUUCAAUUCAAUUUCAGUGGGGACUAAUGAAAAAUUAAUUACAAUUUGUUCAUUAUUUUGCAGCGUUAUAUUGGUCAUAAUGAGCCACAUGUAGCAAUUUAAAAAAAAAUCGUGGCGCAUUAAUCGUGACCUACACUCGUCGAUUUGUUGCUAAACCUUCGGUUAGUCUCGGCAUUACGGGCCAUCCUAAAAACGAGUCCCGAAAGUAGAUUGCGCCGCGCAAGGUUUGCUGAUUAAAAUCGGAGAGACCUCGUCGGAUAUACCUUAAUAAGGAAAUCGUACCUUGACGGACAACCGGUGCGACAAUGGCGUCGCGAAACGCACUUGGCGGCGAAGUCGGUAAUCCAAGGAUACGGUAAGGAUACGGUUUUACGAACCACCAAAUAUAGUUACCUGCAAAAUAAAAAAAAAAA